UAUAUAAGAUAAUCUCUCCUAUUCUAUAGAAUUUCUUAAUUAGAAGAUAGUUUUCUCCUCGAUUUAGAUAUAUCUGAAUAUGAUUGGAUAAAUGACCCAUUUGAUAAAAAUAUAUGUUUAACUGAAUUCAGCCAUGAAGAAGAAGAAAAAGAGCUCGCAGAAAUAUGAAAAAUUCAAACUCUUAUCACAAUAUAAAAGUGUUCCAUUUAAUCAAUUUUGGAUUCAUGUUGAAAAAUGCAUAGGUACAAUAAUUGGCAAAAAAGCUCUAAAAAUAUAAACGCAUUUUUCGACGCCAUAUUUAUGUCAACAAUGAUUUUCCACUCUUGUAAACAUAAAAACAAAUUAAUGAAUGAAAAUAGAGUUCAUUGAAGAAGAAAUGAGAGUGUGUCAUUGAACUAUUCGACCACGAGUAAAAG